rnacentral:rRNA from 1 species
UACGUAGGGUGCGAGCGUUAAUCGGAAUUACUGGGCGUAAAGCGUGCGUAGGCGGUUCGCUGUGUCCGAUGUGAAAGCCCCGGGCUUAACCUGGGAAUGGCAUUGGAAACUGGCGGGCUUGAGUGCGGCAGAGGGGGGUGGAAUUCCGCGUGUAGCAGUGAAAUGCGUAGAUAUGUGGAGGAACACCGAUGGCGAAGGCAGCCCCCUGGGUUAACACUGACGCUCAGGCACGAAAGCGUGGGGAGCAAACAGG